UUGAGAGAGAGUGUUUUACAAAUACUCCGAUAAUGGAGGAUAAAUACCUGGAUUUACAAUUAGAAUUCCAAUUCUUUUCUUCCGAGAACUUAUCGACGCAAUCGAAGGCACUUUCACAGUCUUUAGUCCGUUUGAUAAAUUACGGCGGCACAGUCUUUAGUCCAAAUACACACACAGAGGUUGAGAUUUUCUUGAAGUGAUGGGUUUUCUUUUCUUCCUUACUAAAUUUUUCUCUUUAUGGAUCUUUGACUCCGAAGGUGACGCUCGAAUACUGUUUGGAGCUCGGCUUCGUUGUGGGGAACGGGUAUUCGGGAGAACUACACAGGUAAUCUACGGAUCCUCUUCUCUCAAAGUAUCGGGUGGCCGCUGUCUCGAAGGAUACCUCGGACGAGAGAUAAUGUUACUCUCAGACUACUUCUGGCGUACCACUAGCG
rnacentral:lncRNA from 1 species